rnacentral:rRNA from 1 species
AUUGAACGCUGGCGGCAUGCCUUACACAUGCAAGUCGAACGGUAACGGGCCUUCGGGUGCCGACGAGUGGCGAACGGGUGAGUAAUACAUCGGAACGUGCCCGAUCGUGGGGGAUAACGAGGCGAAAGCUUUGCUAAUACCGCAUACGAUCUACGGAUGAAAGCAGGGGACCGCAAGGCCUUGCGCGGACGGAGCGGCCGAUGGCAGAUUAGGUAGUUGGUGGGAUAAAAGCUUACCAAGCCGACGAUCUGUAGCUGGUCUGAGAGGAUGAUCAGCCACACUGGGACUGAGACACGGCCCAGACUCCUACGGGAGGCAGCAGUGGGGAAUUUUGGACAAUGGGCGCAAGCCUGAUCCAGCCAUGCCGCGUGCAGGAUGAAGGCCUUCGGGUUGUAAACUGCUUUUGUACGGAACGAAAAGCCUUCUUUUAAUACAGGAGGGUCAUGACGGUACCGUAAGGAUAAGCACCGGCUAACUACGUG